rnacentral:rRNA from 1 species
GACGUAGGGCGCGAGCGUUGUCCGGAUUUAUUGGGUUUAAAGGGUGCGUAGGCGGAUUAGUAAGUCAGUGGUGAAAGCCCAUCGCUUAACGGUGGAACUGCCAUUGAUACUGCUAGUCUUGAGUAUGGUUGAGGUGGGCGGAAUGUGUCAUGUAGCGGUGAAAUGCUUAGAUAUGACUCAGAACACCAAUUGCGAAGGCAGCUCGCUAAGCCAUAACUGACGCUGAUGCACGAAAGCGUGGGGAGCAAACAGG